UGUGCAAGGAUUUAUAAAGCAUCUUGGCAUUACAAACAGAGUCUACAAAGUGUGUGCCGACGAAUCACGCAGAUGUAAAGAGGAACUAAAAACUCAGGUUGAAUCUUUGAAAAAGAUGUGUGAAACAGAAUUAGCCGAGAUUAUGAUAUGGGCAAAUGCUGAUACUGAGGAUGAUGAUACUGAAGAUGAUGAUACUGAAGCAAGCAAGCAGUCCAAACAGUGCAAGCGAAAGAAAAUUGAUGAUGGUACGACGAAUUAAAAUGGAUUUCAUCAUCAAGGCUUAAUGAUUAAAGACUCAUGAUUGUGUUUUAAAAGACUCAUGAAGCUUACAGUCUUUCAUUAUGAAGGACUUACUAUUUUUAUUAUCAAGCACUGCAGUUUAAGAAGUGUUACGGAAACAUUUUAUUAUUCUAGAACCCUUUUUUAAAGCAUUUUAUGGUAAAAAAGUGUAAUUGUAUUUUAUGAAGUGUGUUAAUUUCGAUGAUAAUAAAUUGUAUAAAUUCAUUA